AUGAAGAAGUUUUAUUAUAUAAUGUGGUGGCAAGGGAGUGGAGAAACAGACACUCUGACACAAUGGUUGAGUGGAGAAGACCAGGUGGAGCAAAGUCCUCAGACCCUGAGGGUCCAGGAGGGAGACAAUGUCAGUCUCACCUGCAGUUACACAGUCAGCACUUUUAGAGGGCUCCAGUGGUACCGGCAGGAUCCUGGGAAAGGCCCCGAACACCUCUUCCUCCUGUAUUCAGUUGGGAAAGGACAGCAGAAGGGGAGACUGAGCGUCUCACUAUCACAGAAGGAAAGUUCUCUGCACAUCACAACCCCUAAAGCUGAAGACUCAGCCACUUACCUCUGUGCUGUGGAGCCACAGUGCUCCCCGGGCACCUGCAGCCUGCACCAAAACCCUGCAGCAGGGGCCCUGGAAUAA